rnacentral:misc_RNA from 1 species
AUGGAAGGAAAAUCUAAAAGAUCGUUCUCUCUUGAAGAAAACUGUGUGAUAAACAAUGAAAUCAAAAGGACUACAGCGCAUACUACAAAUCAAAUGUCAAAUACCAUGGAAAAUGUAUCAAUAUCUAAAUCUAAUUUAAAACAUUCCAAAGUACAAUUAUCAGAGAGAGAUAGGAAAAUAGAUAUGGAACAUGUUUCGCUCGUUGAAAAAAUGAUUCCGGCAAAUAUUGCAGCUUAUAUAGGACAAGAGCAUAUCAUUGGUCCAGGCACUAUUUUGAGCUAUUUAUUGGAAAAAGGAGAGAUUCCCAGUAUGAUAUUUUGGGGCCCACCUGGAUGUGGAAAGACAUCCUUAACCAAGAUAAUAGCGUGUUUAAGCAACAAAAUAACAAGUAAUAAUGUACACAUUGUGAACUUAUCUGCAGUAAGUUCUGGUGUAAAAAAUAUAAGAGAUGCUGUUACUACAGCAAAGAACAAAUCUAAAUUUGGAUGCAAAACUAUUGUCUUUAUGGACGAAAUUCAUUGUUUCAACAAGCUUCAGCAAGAUAUAUUUUUGCCGCAUGUAGAGGCAGGAACAUUUACUUUAAUUGGAUGUACUACUGAAAAUCCAUCUUACAGCUUGAAUCCAGCUUUGCUAAGCCGCUGUCGUGUGUUUGUACUGAAAAAAUUAACAGAAUGCAAUAUAAAGGAAAUCCUUCAUAAAGCAAUAGAGUACAUGAAUGGAAGCAUAUUCGAUGCACAAGAAAGAAGUGAAAUGAAUAAAGAGUUGAAUUUCCAUUCAAAUCUUAAAUUUUGUAUUAAUAAUGAUGCAAUACAAUGGUUAGCAGAAGCAUGCGAUGGUGAUGCACGUGUAGCUUUGAAUACUUUAGAAUUAGCAGUGCUUACAAAAACAACAAAUAGAUUUAAAACAUCAUGUAAUAAUGACAUUAUAUUGAAAGAUAUUAAAGAGAGUUUAAUAAAAGCACAUAUACUUUCUGAGAAAGAAACCAAUCAGAGUUAUCACCUAUAUUCUGCUCUUCAUAAAUCAAUAAGAGCUGGCAAAGCGAAUGCUUCGCUGUAUUGGAUGGCGAGAAUUAUGGCAGCUAAGGAAGAUCCAGUAAACAUUGCAAGACGAUUAGUUAGGAUAUCAAGCGAGGAUAUUGGUUUAGCUGAUCCAGAUGCUUUAGGUGUAGCUAUUGAUACAAUGUAUGGGUGUCAAAUGAUUGGUAUGCCAGAAUGCGAUGUACUUUUGGGACAAUGCGCAGUUUAUUUAGCAAAAGCUCCAAAGUCUCGAAUGGUAUACAAUGCGUUGAAAGCAGUUAAGAAAGUCAUUUUGGAACAUAAAGGCCCUCAACCUGCUGUGCCGUUACACAUGAGAAUUUCUUUUUUUACAGAUACUCGUUGUUUACCUACAGAAUUACAGCAUAUCAAUCUUUUUCAUGAAAAAGAAUGAUAUACUAGUUGUUUACCUACAGAAUUACAGCAUAUCGAUCUUUUUCAAGAAAAAGAAUGAUCGCGCGAUAAUCGCACACGUAAAUCGACCAAUGACGUAAUGUGUCAGCCAUUGGCUGGUAUGUACACGGUUGACGCUGUUUAGCGUGGGACAGAACAUACUAGCUUGUAAAAUCUUUCCCACUUACAUCAUAUCUUUAAAGACG